UAUUUUUAAGUAAAUGAGCCCGUAUGUUGCAACAACAUCCUCGCGAGUCCCUAAUGACAAAUGUGUUCUAUGCUUCUACUCAUGCUCUUCGCCAGAGCUCACACAUCUCAUGAGUGGUAUUCACCUGGUCGCCUCGUCGUAUGGGGACACAUGCUUGGGGUUGUCAUGGUCGAACGUGUGCUUCGCAAACUCCACCUCCUUGCUGGUUCUUUUUGUUUAACCACAAACCAUACAACAAUAGUUCUAUGGUCAAAUUUUCAUUAAUAUAGUAUGGUAUAAGGGGGAGGAAAAAACAGAGCAAAAUUAAUCAAGAUCUGUACAAUUUGUUACAAACACCUCAGCCAAUGCCACUAUGUGCCAGUGUGAAAAACUUCUUUGGUCGGAGCAAGCGUCGGAGCUCCCUGAACCUACACAUUUUGCAACCUUUGUGUUAGUCAAGGUAAAAAAAUAGCAAGGCUUUGGUAAUCAUGUAUGUACCAUAUAUCAAGCUAUUUGCUUCUUUGAUGUCUGGGUUAAAGUAUAGCCGAGACUGCUCAGUUGUUCGCAAGAUAGCAUCUGAAAUUGAGUGUAAGAAAGACUUAAAAGUAUUAGCAGACAACCUAAAACUCAACAGCAGGAAGCCAAAAGAUAAAUAGUGAAGGGUUUUCUUCCCUGCAAAACAUAUGCCAAAGGAUACUAAGCAUAAUAUUAACCCAUUUAGUUGUCUAGAUGACCAGAUUAAAUCGUAAGCAUUACGUGGUUCUUAUUUCAGUGAAAAGGAAUUCGGUUGAAUAAUGAUUGCCAAUGCAUGUCAGCAUGUAUGAUUCAGAAACCACACAGAGCAUAAUUUAGGAGCAGAUACAUCUGUUUUCAGAGCUUGCAGCUCAUAAUGAAAUGCUAGAAAAUUUUAUUUUCCUACUAAAAACACGAGGAAAUUAGCAAUGUCAAAGUUGUUGCGUCUAAUGUCAAAACUAACUACUAUAUCAGGUUACUGAGAUGGUUUCCUGUAUGAACAUUAGUUAAUGAAAAAAAAAUACAAUAUGAGAAAAUACUUGUGUAAUUAGAACAAGAAGAAUUUUAAAUGUAUGGACUUGGAUUUCACAACUUAAUGUGAACUAACACAGCAUUAGAAAGAAGAAAAGCCUGGUACAGUUUGCUUUGCAAUGAAAUUUGAUUGAAUCAAUAAAUUAUCAAGAGCAAUUGGAUAACAACAAGGGAAGAACAGGAAGGGAGAAUCAGAAGGUUCACCUAUCAAUCGUGAGUAGUAGUAGUUGCCUAGUAGCAGGUCAGAUAGGACGACAAUAGGAAGAAGAGAGUCAGGCUGCCACAGGGCUUCCUCAAGCUGAAGAAAUAGGGAGUCGGGGCAACAUCACUGACUUGGCUGGGACCUUGGUGUCCCCUAUCGUGUAGCGUCGACAUCUCAUGGUCCUACAGCUGCAAGAAGCAGAAUUCCUUGCACUACAUUCAGACAUAGCUGAGAUUAGUUUGUAGUUCACGCCAGAACCUCUCAGAUCACUGUUAAAUGUCUGGAACUGAAGAAUACAAUUUCUCCUCUUAGUAUAUGAUACGAAGUUUCUUUAGACGAGUAAAAUUUCAGUAGAACAAAAAAGGUAUCAACGCUUAAUUUUACUCCAUAUGUCUUACCAUAGAUAUGGUUACUGCACCAGCAUCCCUCUGUUGAAAUCAAUCUGUUGAAACCUCAACCACAGAAGUACCAAGCUAUUCUUUUGACUUCACUCCCAAAAACUGCACGUGCUUGAACGACUAUUGCACCUGGAGACAAUCCUGCAAUCAUGAAUUCAAUGCUUAUAAGUUCAAAGGGCCAAUGAAUGAGAAAUGCUAAAUGAUAGACCUGAUGCAUAAAAGCAAAUAAAACUGUGAUCAAAGGACUACGGAGAGAUCUGAUGGUGGUAAAAUGCUGAGUUGAACUGGGACAAAUCCUCGGAUAAAUCAUAAUUAGAUUAUCAAUUGUGGUACAUAAAUCAAGCGGGAACACACAAACAAUCAGGAAAUGUAGGACCACUUGAUGACUAUAAAAUUGACAGUAAAGAUGUCUCAUUUUCAUGAUAGGCUGCUCUAUUUGUCAGUAUUGACACCAAAGAUCUAUUCAUAUUCAACUCUUUCACUGCCGUGUACAAAAUCUUUUACAGCAAAGUGUGUACAUAGAAAAUUAUGGUGCUUAAUUCUGCUUGGUUGAUUCUCUUGGUGUAUCCUCCUCAGCUAGAACUACCAUCUGCUUGGUGCAGAGUGAUCCUAUGUUGGUUGAUUACGCAAAGUAUUGCCACUAAAAAUGGGUUGUCCAUGUUUCAUGUCCUCAGCAUAAUGUUGUUGCUCCGUUUCAGUAUGGUACUAUGGUUACAACUUACAAACAUGCAUGCAUGUGCAAAAAAUUUCGUUUUAACAUCUUAACACCUGCAAGCCAUUUUGUUCUGACAAAUGAUGUUUCAGACUAAAUUGAUUAACUAACAGUGUGUCUUGACAAAUGAUGUUUCAGACAUGUUUAGAUAUAAAAGAAUUUUAGAGGGUUGUACAUAGACCAGACAUUGACCGGACAUUCCAGCAGUACAUGAAUAUCUAUAUUAUAUACAGCGACACUAAAGAAUUCAGUAUAAGUCGAUGCAACUAUAUGGAAAGAUUGAGCUAGAAACCUAAUUACAUGGAUCAAUCCGUCAGUUAAAAAAUGUCAUUACUCCAUACGGAAACAAGCAUCCACGAUUGGAAGCUCCCAAAAUCCAAAUCCAAUGGCCAUUACUCUGUACAGAAAAGGAUGUGUGCAUGCGCAUCAGGAUCACGUCAGAGCAUGAACAGAAUGGGGCGGGACACGGCGAUAGCAGUGAUUUUGACCCACCCGGCAGCGGCGG
rnacentral:lncRNA from 1 species